rnacentral:rRNA from 1 species
AACGAACGCUGGCGGCAUGCCUAACACAUGCAAGUCGAACGAGACCUUCGGGUCUAGUGGCGCACGGGUGCGUAACGCGUGGGAAUCUGCCCUUCGGUUGGGAAUAACUGAGAGAAAUUUCAGCUAAUACCUUAUAAUGUCUUCGGACCAAAGAUUUAUCGCCGAGGGAUGAGCCCGCGUAGGAUUAGGUAGUUGGUGGGGUAAUGGCCUACCAAGCCGACGAUCCUUAGCUGGUCUGAGAGGAUGAUCAGCCACACUGGGACUGAGACACGGCCCAGACUCCUACGGGUGGCAGCAGUGGGGAAUAUUGGACAAUGGGCGAAAGCCUGAUCCAGCAAUGCCGCGUGAGUGAUGAAGGCCUUAGGGUUGUAAAGCUCUUUUACCCGGGAUGAUAAUGACAGUACCGGGAGAAUAAGCUCCGGCUAACUCCGUG